rnacentral:rRNA from 1 species
UGCCAUCAGAUGUGCCCAGAUGGGAUUAGCUAGUAGGUGGGGUAACGGCUCACCUAGGCGACGAUCCCUAGCUGGUCUGAGAGGAUGACCAGCCACACUGGAACUGAGACACGGUCCAGACUCCUACGGGAGGCAGCAGUGGGGAAUAUUGCACAAUGGGCGCAAGCCUGAUGCAGCCAUGCCGCGUGUGUGAAGAAGGCCUUCGGGUUGUAAAGCACUUUCAGCGGGGAGGAAGGCGGUGAGGUUAAUAACCUUAUCGAUUGACGUUACCCGCAGAAGAAGCACCGGCUAACUCCGUGCCAGCAGCCGCGGUAAUACGGAGGGUGCAAGCGUUAAUCGGAAUUACUGGGCGUAAAGCGCACGCAGGCGGUCUGUCAAGUCGGAUGUGAAAUCCCCGGGCUCAACCUGGGAACUGCAUUCGAAACUGGCAGGCUAGAGUCUUGUAGAGGGGGGUAGAAUUCCAGGUGUAGCGGUGAAAUGCGUAGAGAUCUGGAGGAAUACCGGUGGCGAAGGCGGCCCCCUGGACAAAGACUGACGCUCAGGUGCGAAAGCGUGGGGAGCAAACAGGAUUAGAUACCCUGGUAGUCCACGCCGUAAACGAUGUCGAUUUGGAGGUUGUGCCCUUGAGGCGUGGCUUCCGGAGCUAACGCGUUAAAUCGACCGCCUGGGGAGUACGGCCGCAAGGUUAAAACUCAAAUGAAUUGACGGGGGCCCGCACAAGCGGUGGAGCAUGUGGUUUAAUUCGAUGCAACGCGAAGAACCUUACCUGGUCUUGACAUCCACAGAACUUAGCAGAGAUGCUUUGGUGCCUUCGGGAACUGUGAGACAGGUGCUGCAUGGCUGUCGUCAGCUCGUGUUGUGAAAUGUUGGGUUAAGUCCCGCAACGAGCGCAACCCUUAUCCUUUGUUGCCAGCGGUUAGGCCGGGAACUCAAAGGAGACUGCCAGUGAUAAACUGGAGGAAGGUGGGGAUGACGUCAAGUCAUCAUGGCCCUUACGACCAGGGCUACACACGUGCUACAAUGGCAUAUACAAAGAGAAGCGACCUCGCGAGAGCAAGCGGACCUCAUAAAGUAUGUCGUAGUCCGGAUUGGAGUCUGCAACUCGACUCCAUGAAGUCGGAAUCGCUAGUAAUCGUAGAUCAGAAUGCUACGGUGAAUACGUUCCCGGGCCUUGUACACACCGCCCGUCACACCAUGGGAGUGGGUUGCAAAAGAAGUAGGUAGCUUAACCUUCGGGAGGGCGCUUACCACUUUGUGAUUCAUGACUGGGGUGAAGUCGUAACAAGGUAACCGUAGGGGAACCUGCGGUUGGAUCACCUCCUU